rnacentral:rRNA from 1 species
AGAGUUUGAUCCUGGCUCAGGAUGAACGCUGACAGAAUGCUUAACACAUGCAAGUCUACUUGAAGUAACUUCGGUUAUGGAUGGUGGCGGACGGGUGAGUAACGCGUAAAGAACUUGCCCUCUAGCCUGGGACAACUGUUGGAAACGACAGCUAAUACCGGAUAUUAUGAAAUCUUGGCAUCAAGAAUUUAUGAAAGCUAUAUGCGCUAGAGGAGAGCUUUGCGUCCUAUUAGCUAGUUGGUGAGGUAAUGGCUCACCAAGGCGACGAUAGGUAGCCGGCCUGAGAGGGUGAACGGCCACAAGGGGACUGAGACACGGCCCUUACUCCUACGGGAGGCAGCAGUGGGGAAUAUUGGACAAUGGACCAAAAGUCUGAUCCAGCAAUUCUGUGUGCACGAUGAAGGUUUUCGGAAUGUAAAGUGCUUUCAGUUGGGAAGAAGAAAGUGACGGUACCAACAGAAUAAGCGACGGCUAAAUACGUGCCAGCAGCCGCGGUAAUACGUAUGUCGCAAGCGUUAUCCGGAAUUAUUGGGCAUAAAGGGCGUCUAGGCGGUUUAGAAAGUCUGAUGUGAAAAUGCGGAGCUCAACUCCGUAUUGCGUUGGAAACUACUAGACUAGAGUAUUGGAGAGGUAAGCGGAACUACAAGUGUAGAGGUGAAAUUCGUAGAUAUUUGUAGGAAUGCCAAUUGGGAAGCCAGCUUACUGGACAAAUACUGACGCUGAAGCGCGAAAGCUAGGGGAGCAAACAGGAUUAGAUACCCUGGUAGUCCUAGCUGUAAACGAUGAUCACUGGGUG